rnacentral:lncRNA from 1 species
GCGAGGCAGAGGGAGUCCUAAGAGGUAUUGGGGAGAGGAUAUUAGGCAUGACAUGGCUAGAAUGCGGGUUUCCGAGAACAUGGCCCUUGAUAGGAAAGUCUGGAGGUCUAGUAUCAGGGUUGUAGGAUAGGGGCUCCUAGAGUUUUUGGUACUGCUCACCCGGGGUUGGGUGAGGCUUGGCAGGGCUAUCCAUGGAAGAUUUGUGUUUUGAAUUGUGUCUCCCUUAUGGUAGUUAUU